AAGAAAAAAGAUUUUCCCUGAAGAACAAUUUAUGGAGCAGAAAAGAGCACUCUCCACCUUUGAAGUAGAAGAGGGAAUAUGAUCUUGAAGGACUUUACCCCAAGUUGUGUCACCACAAGGGGCCCUUAUUUAGCCUAGAGGAACUUCAUUGGAAAGAGAGCACUCCUUCCCUGGGAGCCGGUAAGAAACUUGACAGAGCUUAACUUCAGUCCUUCCAGAUUCAGGCAUGCCACCCUGCUUCAAUUAUGACCUUAUAGUGGACAGAUAUGCUAGCCAUUCAAACACACUACUUCUGCAGGUGGACAUUUUAUCCAUUGCCUUUCGCUUCCUAACUUUGACUUCUGUGGCUGUGCUUUUCUGAUACAAUCAUCAGAUCUUAAAUUGGUUCCUGUUGGGAGACUUUGGUAAUGCAAAAGUGCAGCACCAAAGCCCCAAUGAAUCAAAACACAACCCAAGAGUGUUUUCCCAGACUUGAAAAUAAUUAAGAAAUUGCUUGCAAAUGAAUAUUCCUUGGGGUUGAUGCAUGUGAGUGGUUUCACCAGGGUUUGUGGAGGACCUGAGGUGGAAGGAGCAAUGCUGGAGGUUGGGUACUGAUAGGUUCUGAGGACAAGUAAGCCAUCCCCACAGGAGCCCAGGACUCCACUGUUCAAGGAAGAACAACAGAGCACCUGAACUAAAGUUCUGUGGUCCUGCUAGAGAGAUGCUUUCUAUUUUUGAAUUGAGAAAUGAGGAAAAGUGAGAAGGGAACAGAGGUUUUGAAGUU
rnacentral:lncRNA from 1 species